rnacentral:rRNA from 1 species
GACGAACGCUGGCGGCGUGCUUAACACAUGCAAGUCGAACGGUGAAGGGACCGGUUUUUGCUGGUUCUGGAUGAGUGGCGAACGGGUCAGUAACACGUGAGUAACCUGCUCCCUUCUUCUGUAUAACCGCAUGAAAGUGUGGCUAAUCCGGGAUAUUCUGCGCCUGCUGCAUGGUGGGUGUGGGAAAGAAAUUGUUUCGGUUGGGGAUGGGAUCGCGACCUAUCUGCUUGCUGGUGGGGUGAUAGACUAACAAGCCGGUGUCGGGUAGCCGGCCUGAGAGGGUGGACGGUCACACUGGGGGUGAGACGCGACCGAGAAUGCUACGAGGGGCAGCAGUGGGGAAUAAUACUCAGUGGGGGCAAGAAUGGUGAAGCGACGACGCGGAGGGGAUGGAGGCCUACGGGUUGUAAACGACUUAUGCCAGUGAAGGAGACGUGUCCAUUUUGUGUGUGGGUUGACGGUAGCUGGAUAAGAAGCACCGGCUGACUACGUG